ensembl:lncRNA
CCAAAGCCUGAAUAUAAGAUAAAAUCCUCUGAAAACAUAGUUAAUUCUUUUUUAAUAUUAUCUCUGAAUUUCAAUUUCAAUGUCAUGGUAUCUUUUGGAAAUAAAGUGUUUUGCAAGAGGUUAUAAGCUCUAAUUGUUUGAGUGUACAAAUCAAGCAGACAGUGGGUUGGUUGAUAUUAAUAUAGUUUAUCCAUUUCCACAUUCAGAGUUCUGUGCAAGAAGAAAUCCUUAACUUUGACCCACAGGAGGGAAAGCAGAAAAACCUUGUCACUGAGACGGAUUUUUAUGUUACUGAAUGAGAAAACAACGUUAAUUUUUGGAAAUGGGCAUUGUGAUACAUGCUGCUUUUGCUGCUGCUGCUAAGUUGCUUCAGUUGUGUCUGACUCUGUGCAACCCCAUAGACGGCAGCCCACCAGGCUACCCCACCCCUGGGAUUCUCCAGGCAAGAACACUGGAGUGGGUUGCCAUUUCCUUCUCCAACUCAUGAAAGUGAAAAGUGAAAGUGAAGUCACUCAGUCGUGCCUGACUUCGCGACCCCAUGGACUGUAGCCUACCAGGCUCCUCCAUCCGUGGAAUUUUCCAGCUUUUCAUUCAUACAUGGAUCACUUUUUCUGCCAAUACACAGAGAUAUGCUUCAAAUUCUUAAUUUUGUAAGUCCAUUCUGAAGGAGAUCAGCCCUGGGAUUUCUUUGGAAGGAAUGAUACUAAAGCUGAAACUCCAGUACUUUGGCCACCUCAUGCACAGAGUUGACUCAUUGGAAAAGACUCUGGUGCUGGGAGGGAUUGGGGGCAGGAGGAGAAGGGGACCACAGAGGAUGAGAUGGCUGGAUGGCAUCACUGGUUUGAUGGACAUGAGUGAGUGAACUCUGGGAGUUGGUGAUGGACAGGGAGGCCUGGCGUGCUGCGAUUCAUGGGGUUGCAAAGAGUCGGACACGACUGAGCGACUCAACUGAACUGAACUGAAUAAAUAAACCAUGUUAUUUAAGAUUUCAAUCCUUAUUGAUAAAGUAUUUAAGCUGUUUCUCAAUUUUAUCUAUUAGAAACAAUUCUUCAUUGAGCAUUCUCUCAUAAACAAUUUUGAAUACUUAGACUUAUAUGGCUAUCGUAUAAUUUUUUAAAAUACCACUAUUGGCUCAAUGUUUAUGCACAUUAUUAAAUUCAUUGAUGCUAACAAAUGCUUUCUAAAA